GAAAAUUCAGCUUCUGCCUUUUAGAGAUAAUCAGCCCAGCUCUCCAGUCUCCUACUUGAAAUUCUUCAAAAUAUGGAGAUAUCCUUGAAGAAUCCUAAAUUUAAGAGACCAUUCUGCCAAAUCCUCAGUUUGCUUAUGAAAAAACAGAGCUUCAGGGAGGGUCCUGCCCCUGUGCUUUAAUAAGCCACCAUUUUGCACCAAAAACAUCUCAAAAUGCUUUCUUGUUCAUCGGCUCCGGACCUCACCCCACCAAACCUCACUUGUAUUCUAAAACUUCAUCAUUUGGCGCCCAAACAUGGGGCUUUGAGUAUUUACAUCUGGACUCUGAGCUUCGGUUCA